AAAGGCUUAGGGAAUGUUUUCGCUCUCUCCGAAACAAGUCGGUUUUCUUGUUCCUUCGAGUCUCAAUCUCAGAAGCCAUGGUUGUGAAGCGGAAGACGCUUCGAUGUUAAGCCAUCCGCAUUCUCUCAUUAUCUUCGUCUCUUUUGGCUGUAUCGAAGCUGAAUUGCAGUUUUCUGCCAUUGUUAGUUACUGAUCAGUUACUUGUUAACAUCAAAAAAAUUUGCAGGAACGGGAAGCAAGUCGACGAUCCUAUCCAAUCGAUUCCGUUAUCGAUGAGCAAUUCUUUGGCCUUCCUAUCAAGACAGCCGUCGAUAAGUUUCAACUUCUUCCUGAAUUUUUGAAGGUAAGAGGUCUGGUUAAGCGACACUUGGAUUCCUUUAACUACUUCGCGAAUACAGAGAUAAAAAAGAUUGUCAAGGCCAAUGAUUGCACUGAAUCCAGCACUGAUCGGAGUACUUAUCUUAUACCCCUGGCACUGUGGAAUGGAUUUCAGUGGUUCAAAUUGAGUAGUUCUUCCCGAUUUUUGCAGGUUUCCAGAUGUAAGAAUCGGUACAACAGGUUGCCCAUUACAAGCGUAUAUAUUCAUGGGACCAAUUUACUACCAAAAGUUAAAACACAGGCUUGCAUGAUUUCAUGAUAUAUUGGUCUUGGACAACAUGCAUGCUAGAGGUAAUGGUCUGCGAGUCAUGUUAACUAGACAACCAACAGAAGGGAGAGCUAGGAAUGGAGGACUGUGAAUAAGAGAAAUGGAACGCAAUUGUUUGAUUGCUUAUGGUGCUAGCAUGCUGAUUUUCGAACGCUUAAUGAUCUCAAACAGUUCUUUUAAACUUCAGAAAAAUCAUUGUAAAUUAGUUCAAAAUGGGUUUGAGAAUAUUCCAGGCAUAGGCUGCAGAGUCUAAAGAUGGACAGGUCCGCGGAGUUUGUGGCUUGUUGGGAUAUUACAACCACAAGCUAUAAACGGGAAUUUGUUCUUGUA